UUCUCUGUGGCGCAAUUGGUGGCGCGUCUGACUGUUAGCAGCAUAAUUGGGUGCUGAAGACAUAUAUCAGAAGGUCGACAGUUCGAUCCUGUCCGGAGGAG